rnacentral:rRNA from 1 species
ACUUAAAGAAUUGACGGGGGAGCACCACAACAGGUGGAGCCUGCGGUUUAAUCGGACUCAACGCCGGGAAACUCACCAGUUAAGACAGCUGAAUGAUAGUCGGGCUGAAGACUCUACUUGACUAGCUGAGAGGAGGUGCAUGGCCGUCGUCAGUUCGUACUGUGAAGCAUCCUGUUAAGUCAGGCAACGAGCGAGACCCACGCCAACAGUUGCCAGCGUACUCUCCGGAGUGACGGGUACACUGUGGGGACCGCCGCUGCUAAAGCGGAGGAAGGAAUGGGCAACGGUAGGUCAGUAUGCCCCGAAUAUCCCGGGCUACACGCGAGCUACAAUGGUUGGUACAAUGGGUAUCUACCCCGAAAGGGGACGGGAAUCUCCUAAAACCAAUCUUAGUUCGGAUUGUGGGCUGCAACUCGCCCACAUGAAGCUGGAAUCUGUAGUAAUCGUGUCUCAAAAUGGCACGGUGAAUAUGUCCCUGCUCCUU